rnacentral:rRNA from 1 species
UACGUAGGUGGCAAGCGUUGUCCGGAUUUACUGGGCGUAAAGAGCGCGCAGGCGGUCGUGCAAGUCGCGUGUGAAAGCCCCCGGCUCAACUGGGGAGGGUCACGCGAUACUGUUCGACUUGAAGGCAGGAGAGGGAAGUGGAAUUCCCGGUGUAGUGGUGAAAUGCGUAGAUAUUGGGAGGAACACCAGUGGCGAAGGCGGCUCACUGGACCGGAACUGACGCUGAGGCGCGAAAGCGUGGGGAGCAAACAGG